ACUCAAAUGAAUUGACGGGGACCCGCACAAGCAGUGGAGUAUGUGGUUUAAUUCGAAGCAACGCGAAGAACCUUACCAGGUCUUGACAUCCCCCUGACCGUUCCAGAGAUGGAGCUUCCCUUCGGGGCAGGGGAGACAGGUGGUGCAUGGUUGUCGUCAGCUCGUGUCGUGAGAUGUUGGGUUAAGUCCCGCAACGAGCGCAACCCUUAGCCCUAGUUGCCAGCACGUCAAGGUGGGCACUCUAGUGCGACUGCCGGUGACAAACCGGAGGAAGGUGGGGAUGACGUCAAAUCAUCAUGCCCCUUACGACCUGGGCUACACACGUACUACAAUGGUCGGUACAACGGGAAGCGAAGCCGCGAGGCGGAGCGAAUCCCAACAAAGCCGAUCUCAGUUCGGAUUGCAGGCUGCAACUCGCCUGCAUGAAGUCGGAAUUGCUAGUAAUCGCGGAUCAGCAUGCCGCGGUGAAUACGUUCCCGGGUCUUGUACACACCGCCCGU
rnacentral:rRNA from 1 species